GAAUAUUGCCGAGAAUAAGUACUUUUUACCGGCAAUUAAAAAAACUUGCCACUAAAACUUACUUCUUUUACAAAAACUCUAACAAUUCCAAGAGCGGGGGGACCUUUUUUCACAAUCCCUCCAAAUUAUUUUCAUUUCCCUCCUUAAUAUUAAUUAACUAUUUUUUAAAUAUAUUUUAUUCAUCAAUAUCCUAGAGGACUGACAAAUGAAAAUCAACAGAAACCCUAACACUUAAAAUUCAUCUCUAUUUACUGCUGGAUCGGUUACUCUGGUAUUUAUCAUUAACUUCAUCUUAUUUUUCUUUUGAUUACUACUCGAGAAAGAUUCAUUAUAUUUUUAAUAAAUUAAUGAAGAAAAUCAAAAGAGUUUGAGGCUCUGUUGUUGCAUAGCUGUUGCACUUCUUCUUUUACAUCGUCACUCGAGGAAUCGAUGGGUAUGCUAUUUUUCUGAAAUUGAAGGAACCAAAAGUUGCGCCUCUGAGCUCAAGGUAGUGCACUACACAAGGCAUAUAACCCAGGAGACUAGUGGCGAGGUAGUAUAUGGCAUGAGAAGGCAAACAACUAUUCUUUGAACGCUUGACUAGAGAUAUUAAGCAGUUGUUCAGAUAUCAGGCAUGUGGAAAAUUUCAUCAUGAUCAAGAGUUGGAGAAACUUUCAUGGCACCAUUUAUAUAUAGUAUUAUAGCUAUUUGAUAAUGUCAGUUAUUAGAUGCCAAAUUACGCUAGUUAUUAGAUUCAAAUAUGUUACCUUUUUGGUUAUGUUGUUGAUACUUUAAAAUUAUGAAAGAGUAGAUUUUGAUGUGUAUUUAAUUAA